rnacentral:lncRNA from 1 species
AAGUGCCUUUCACCACCCGCCAUGAUUCUGAGGCCUCCUCAACCAUGUGGAACUGGCCUCAGCAGAAGAAUGUCCUCCCCUCCAUCUGGAAGGCUCCUGAAUCUAGGGAAGCUCUGUAGCCUCUCUGACCCCAACCCUUUCAAAGCCUCUAACGGCAGGGUACCAAGUGGGGAGCCAAGUUGACAGCUGAAGAAGAGCAAAUGGACACACCCUGAAAAUUCAGCUUGGGGUCCACUAUCACAGGACUUGGCUGUUCUUGCUGUGCGCCAGGAAGCCAGCCUUGGUCCCCUCUUCCUGGGCAGCAGUGGAGCCACUGGAUCCAAGACAUAGGUUCCAUCUCCCAUCUUCCUCUCCCCUUAAAGGCCCUUGGGUUGGAAUGACAUCAAGAAGAUGCUGACAUCUUAGGACAGAGAGAUGAAGUGGAACAGGCAAAGAUGGGGUAGAGUCACCUGAAUGGGGGAAUAAAGACAUUUAACUCUUCAACACAGGCACUGCACUAAAGGCUGGGGAUGUGAGAUGAAGGAGACCUGCUCCCUGACCUCACAGACCAGCAAAGAGAGAGACAGCUACAAGAACACAGAGGUCAGACUCAAAGGAGGGCAGGAAUCAUUCUGUGAGGGUAGAAAGCCAAGGAAGGUUUCUCAAGGAGAAUGAGGAGGUCCAUUAUUACAUAAUCACCAGGCAAACCAAGGGUAGCCCCAUUUGCUCUCCUGGCAGCUGAGCCCUCUCCAGGAAUUGCUUUUAGUCCAAGAGAGCUGCCUCACCCACUGACAUGGCCCCUUCCUGGAGGCAGCCCACAUCAAUAACUGGUCAAGAGGUAGAAGGUUAUAAACAUCCAGUUCCCUUGACUCAAGGCAGGACAACUGUGAAGGGUGUCUCAAUUCAAGAGCAACAUGGGGCCAACUAGGUGAUGCCUCUGCCACAACUGCCCAGCAGUCCAAUUUUCCCCUUGCUUAAUCUUGUUUGCCUAAUUCCUUCAAAGUUGUCCAUCCCACGAGCACUUGCCAGUGAACUACCUGUUCACAAAUUUCCAUCUCCAAGUCCAUUUCCCGUAUUUCCACCAUCUCAGCCAGGCACAAGGCACAGGCCAGAGGUUUUCAAGAACAGCAUCUCAGAAGGACACAAAUCGGACAUGUAAGUUACCUACAUUUUAAACAAGCAAAGCACUGAUUAUUUGUCAAAGAUGCAAGCUUUCUCCCAGAGCCCUCUGAAAGUUGUGUGAGUCCCUGAAGAAUCUACCUGGAAAAUUCCAUUGCCCCGAGGAGCUUUCUCAAAAUGUAUUCCUGCCACCUGCUUCCCUGCGUAUAAUCCUCGCUCUCCACAAGUCUGUUUAUCCAUAGACACAAAAUGUUAGAGCUGUCACCAGGAAUACAAAUGGGGAGAAAGCCACCCUCAAGCCAAUCAAUAAUGCUGGAGACGAAGCAACUGCAGCACUCUGCGGGUCAUAGAUUAUGAAGCACAAAGAAAGGAAACUCAACUCCUAGCAUUGUAUUGUAGCUGAUGGUCAGUAAGGAAAGCUCAUGUUCCAAUCUGAUUCUAUUUUAGCCACUUGGCAGAAAAUCAUCACUGAGGCACAAAUGAGAUGGCCUUGAAGGUGAAUAAAAAUCUUGGGUUCACUUUCCAAGACUUCAACAUCACAGAACUUUUCAGGAGCUCUGCCUCUCUGCAAGGCUUGCACGUCUAUUUACAAAGGCAAAAGCUUCUGUAAAGUACCUGGGUUACCAAAGCAGGCUGGGAGCUGAUAAUCCAAUUUGUUUUCCCUUCAAUAAAUCGUUCAUUAAUGUUGCUAAGAAAUUUACAGCUUAAAAUGGUUUUAUGACUAGAGAUUAAAAAAGAACCGUUCCAAUAAAUUUCAUAUAACUGAG